rnacentral:misc_RNA from 1 species
GAUGAAGAACGUAGCAAAAUGCGAUAAGUAGUGUGAAUUGCAGAAUUCAGUGAAUCAUCGAGUCUUUGAACGCACAUUGCGCCCCCUGGUAUUCCGGGGGGCAUGCCUGUCCGAGCGUCAUUGCUGCCCUCAAGCACGGCUUGUGUGUUGGGCCUCCGCCCCCCGGCUCCCGGGGGGCGGGCCCGAAAGGCAGCGGCGGCACCGCGUCCGGUCCUCGAGCGUAUGGGGCUUCGUCACCCGCUCCGUAGGCCCGGCCGGCGCCCGCCGGCGACCCCCCUCAAUCUUUCCAGGUUGACCUCGGAUCAGGUAGGGAUACCCGCUGAACUUAAGCAUAUCAAUAAGCGGAGGA